AGCUAUGCAAAAUCAAAUUUAAAACAAAAUAUUCUUCUCUUUUUGCUAUAAGAUAGAUUAAUAAAAUACAAGAUAAAUAGUAAGAUGUCUGAUACUAAUUAUAUCUAGCUUUAAAAUAAAUGGUAACUUACUUGAAAAAUUCAGUUCGAUACCAAUGUCAAAAGAUUUAAGAAGAGUAUUUCUCAAAUUCAAUUUUUGAAAAUAAUCAAUCGAAGUAAAAAUAAUAGA
rnacentral:lncRNA from 1 species